rnacentral:rRNA from 1 species
AUUUUGGACAAUGGGCGCAAGCCUGAUCCAGCAAUGCCGCGUGCAGGAUGAAGGCCUUCGGGUUGUAAACUGCUUUUGUACGGAACGAAAAAGCUCUCUCUAAUACAGGGGGUGAAUGACGGUACCGUAAGAAUAAGCACCGGCUAACUACGUGCCAGCAGCCGCGGUAAUACGCAGGGUGCAAGCGUUAAUCGGAAUUACUGGGCGUAAAGCGUGCGCAGGCGGUUUUGUAAGACAGAGGUGGUAUCCCCGGGCUCAACGUGGGAACUGCCAUUGUGACUGCACAGCUGGAGGUCGGGAUAGGGGGAUGGAAUUCCGCGUGUAGCAGUGAAAUGCGUAGAUAUGCGGAGGAACACCGAUGGCGAAGGCAAUCCCCUGGGCCUGCACUGACGCUCAUGCACGAAAGCGUGGGGAGCAAACA